AUUGAACGCUGGCGGCAGGCCUAACACAUGCAAGUCGAGCGUGCGGCGGACGGGUGCGUACUGUAUGGGGACUGCCCGAUAGAGGGGGAUCACUACUGGAAACGGUAGCUAAUACCACAUACUAUCGGAUAACCCAUAUGGGAUUAGCUAGUGGGUGGGGUAAUGGCCAACCUAGGCGACGAUCCCUAGCUCGUCUGCGAGGGUGAUCAGCCACACGGGGACUGAGACACGGCCCAGACUCCUACGGAGGCAGCAGUGGGGAAUAUUGCACAAUGGGCGCAAGCCUGAUGCAGCAAUGCCGCGUGUAUGAAGAAGGCCCUAGGGUUGUAAAGUACUUUCAGUCGGGAGGCGUUACCGACAGAAGAAGCCCCGGCUAACUCCGUGCCAGCAGCCGCGGUAAUUC
rnacentral:rRNA from 1 species